rnacentral:rRNA from 1 species
CGUAGGUGGCAAGCGUUGUCCGGAUUUACUGGGCGUAAAGCGAACGCAGGCGGAUGGUUAAGUAGGAAGUGAAAGGUGGGAGCUCAACUCCUACACUGCUCCCUAUACUGGCCGUCUUGAGUAGCGGAGAGGACGAGGGAACGACACGUGUAGCGGUGAAAUGCGUUGAUAUGUGUCGGAACACCAAUGGCGAAAGCACUCUUCUGGACGCAAACUGACGCUGAGGUUCGAAAGCCAAGGUAGCAAACAGGAUUAGAUACCCUGGUAGUCUUGGCCAUAAACGAUGUUCACUAGGUGUCGGGGGAUUCCUUCGGUGCCGCAGCUAACGCAUUAAGUGAACCGCCUGGGAACUACGAUCGCAAGAUUA